rnacentral:rRNA from 1 species
GAUGUUGGGUUAAGUCCCGCAACGAGCGCAACCCUUGUCUUUAGUUGCCAUCAUUAAGUUGGGCACUCUAGAGAGACUGCCAGGGAUAACCUGGAGGAAGGUGGGGAUGACGUCAAAUCAUCAUGCCCCUUAUGCUUAGGGCUACACACGUGCUACAAUGGGUAGUACAGAGGGUUGCCAAACCGUAAGGUGGAGCUAAUCCCUUAAAGCUACUCUCAGUUCGGAUUGUAGGCUGAAACUCGCCUACAUGAAGCUGGAGUUACUAGUAAUCGCAGAUCAGAAUGCUGCGGUGAAUGCGUUCCCGGGUCUUGUACACACCGCCCGUCACACCACGGGAGUUGGAGACGCCCGAAGCCGAUUAUCUAACCUUUUGGAAGAAGUCGUCGAAGGUGGAAUCAAUAACUGGGGUGAAGUCGUAACAAGGUAGCCGUAUCGGAAGGUGCGGCUGGAUC